UGUGAGAAAGAAUAAAGGAAGACACAAAGGAGGUGUGAAACAUAGUUCAGAUGAUACAGGUUCAAGUGUCAAAUUUGUAUCAUGUGAACUGUGUUUGACACAUCCUUUGUGUCUUUCUCUCUUCUUGCUCACAUGAACACGAAAGAGGUUAUCUUGAACAUGAUGUUAUCUAUUAAAGGAGCUUAUAUGAUGACAUAGAAUUGGCUACGUGUCAAUCUCUCAGCUAUGACAAGGUUUAAAGCUAUUGAAUGGCUUGAAAGUAUUUUUGAAUAAUGGAUGUGUUUUUUCACUUUACAAGCACACAUUUACCAUAGACUUAGUUUGGUCAGAUAAUUUGGAAUGGGUCCAACUGGUAAUCAAUUAUGGAUUUGAAGCAACAUAUCAAAGGGAAGUUGUUGAAGUUGGAGGUUGAUCAUCGAAAUACAUCAAGUUAUCAAGAUAUGAUUGUACAGGUUUCAAACCAUAUUGUCAAUUAGAGUAUUUGAUUCAUUUAAGAUUGAUGUGAAACAAUUAUAUAAAGUUUAGUUGUUUUUAUGAUUGAAAUAGUGUGAUUGUAUUAAGAAUUAUAUAUACCUAAGUAACUUGGUGCGUUUUUGUCC